rnacentral:rRNA from 1 species
UUUAUGGAGAGUUUGAUCCUGGCUCAGGAUGAACGCUGGCGGCGUGCCUAAUACAUGCAAGUCGAGCGAACGGACGAGAAGCUUGCUUCUCUGAUGUUAGCGGCGGACGGGUGAGUAACACGUGGAUAACCUACCUAUAAGACUGGGAUAACUUCGGGAAACCGGAGCUAAUACCGGAUAAUAUUUUGAACCGCAUGGUUCAAAAGUGAAAGACGGUCUUGCUGUCACUUAUAGAUGGAUCCGCGCUGCAUUAGCUAGUUGGUAAGGUAACGGCUUACCAAGGCAACGAUGCAUAGCCGACCUGAGAGGGUGAUCGGCCACACUGGAACUGAGACACGGUCCAGACUCCUACGGGAGGCAGCAGUAGGGAAUCUUCCGCAAUGGGCGAAAGCCUGACGGAGCAACGCCGCGUGAGUGAUGAAGGUCUUCGGAUCGUAAAACUCUGUUAUUAGGGAAGAACAUAUGUGUAAGUAACUGUGCACAUCUUGACGGUACCUAAUCAGAAAGCCACGGCUAACUACGUGCCAGCAGCCGCGGUAAUACGUAGGUGGCAAGCGUUAUCCGGAAUUAUUGGGCGUAAAGCGCGCGUAGGCGGUUUUUUAAGUCUGAUGUGAAAGCCCACGGCUCAACCGUGGAGGGUCAUUGGAAACUGGAAAACUUGAGUGCAGAAGAGGAAAGUGGAAUUCCAUGUGUAGCGGUGAAAUGCGCAGAGAUAUGGAGGAACACCAGUGGCGAAGGCGACUUUCUGGUCUGUAACUGACGCUGAUGUGCGAAAGCGUGGGGAUCAAACAGGAUUAGAUACCCUGGUAGUCCACGCCGUAAACGAUGAGUGCUAAGUGUUAGGGGGUUUCCGCCCCUUAGUGCUGCAGCUAACGCAUUAAGCACUCCGCCUGGGGAGUACGACCGCAAGGUUGAAACUCAAAGGA